rnacentral:rRNA from 1 species
GACGAACGCUGGCGGCGUGCUUAACACAUGCGAGUCGAGCGGUAAGGCCCUUCGGGGUACACGAGCGGCGAACGGGUGAGUAACACGUGAGUAAUCUGCCCAUCACUUCGGGAUAACUCCGGGAAACCGGUGCUAAUACCGAAUAUGACCACUUCAGGCAUCUGAUGGUGGUGGAAAGUUCCGGCGGUGAUGGAUGAGCUCGCGGCCUAUCAGCUUGUUGGUGGGGUAGUGGCCUACCAAGGCCUCGACGGGUAGCCGGCCUGAGAGGGUGACCGGCCACACUGGGACUGAGACACGGCCCAGACUCCUACGGGAGGCAGCAGUGGGGAAUAUUGGACAAUGGGCGAAAGCCUGAUCCAGCAACGCCGCGUGAGGGAUGACGGCCUUCGGGUUGUAAACCUCUUUCAGCAGGGACGAAGCGCAAGUGACGGUACCUGCAGAAGAAGCACCGGCCAACUACGUG